rnacentral:rRNA from 1 species
CCUACGGGUGGCAGCAGUGGGGAAUAUUGCGCAAUGGGCGAAAGCCUGACGCAGCGACGCCGCGUGAGGGAUGAAGGUCUUCGGAUCGUAAACCUCUGUCAGCAGGGAAGAACGGUCAAUGUGCUAAUCAGCAGCGAAUUGACGGUACCUGCAAAGGAAGCACCGGCUAACUCCGUGCCAGCAGCCGCGGUAAUACGGAGGGUGCGGGCGUUAAUCGGAAUUACUGGGCGUAAAGCGCUCGUAGGCGGUAUGUCAAGUCAAGGGUGAAAUCCCCGGGCCCAACGGGGGAACUGCCUUUGAAACUGGCAGACUGGAGUGUGGGAGAGGAGGGUGGAAUUCCAGGUGUAGGAGUGAAAUCCGUAGAUAUCUGGAGGAACAUCAGUGGCGAAGGCGACUAUCUGGAACAUAACUGACGCUGAGGAGCGAAAGCGUGGGGAGCAAACAGGAUUAGAUACCCGGGUAGUC